rnacentral:tmRNA from 1 species
GGGGGCGUACCGGUUUCGACGGGGAGGUCGAGCGCCGGUAAGCGGGCAGAGGUGCGGUGCCUCUAUAAAAAUCGCAAAACGUUAUAAAUUAAAUAACGAAGAUUACGCACUCGCUGCCUAAUUAGGCGGCCGUCUGACCAGAGAGGACCACGGCUUUGGAUCAGGCGUCAUUGAGUGGUGAACGCAUGCGCGGUAAGCUUUGCCCGCGCUGUGUAAAAUGAAGCUACCAAGUCCGGAAGGCUGCCUGCCGCCGUUCGGAUGAGGGAAAUUCAAUAGACAGGCUGCGCCCGGAGAAAGCUAUCGCAAGGCCCUCUCGGACACGGGUUCGACUCCCGUCGCCUCCACCA